rnacentral:rRNA from 1 species
GAUGAACGCUGGCGGCGUGCUUAACACAUGCAAGUCGAACGGAAAGGCCCAAGCUUGCUUGGGUACUCGAGUGGCGAACGGGUGAGUAACACGUGGGUGAUCUGCCCUGCACUUCGGGAUAAGCCUGGGAAACUGGGCCUAAUAUCGGAUAGGACGAUGGCUUGGAUGCCAUUGUGGAAAGUUUUUUCGGUGUGGGGUGAGCUUGCGGCCGAUCAGCUUGUUCGUGGGGUAAUGGCCUACCACGGCGAAGACGGGUAGCCGGCGCGGGAGGGCGUACGGCCGCACUGGACCUCUACGGCGGCCCACACUCCUACGUGUUGCAGCAGUGGGGAAUAUUGGACAAUGGGCGCCCGCCUGAUGCAGCAACGCCGCGUGGUUGUUGACGGCCUUCGGGUUGUAAGCUCCUUUCGCUAUUAACGAAGCGUUUUUGUGACGGUACCUGGAGAAGAAGCACCGGCUAACUACGUG